GCCUUUGUGGUGUAGUGGUCAGCACACUCGACAUGUAACUGAGAGAUUCGUGGUUCAAUUAACGACGAAGGCG
rnacentral:tRNA from 1 species